rnacentral:lncRNA from 1 species
UUUCACUAAGACUAAUUAGUGCAUAAUAUAUUAUAUUAACCAUAAGAGUCUUAAGACCAAACAUCAAGCAUUAUUGUACUACUGCAGUAGGCAGGCGCAGCAGUACACACAACAACAUAGAAACUCAAGCACUGCAAUAGGCAUAGACAACACCUAGCAGCCAAUAAGCAGCUAGUGCAGACUACAAAUUUCCAACUGAAACCUAACUUUGAGAAAUUUACACACUUCCCGUUCCAGAUAAUCCAGACUACAAUCUACAAAGACUAAAAAAACAUCCAUUAAUAAUUUAAGCUUCAUACACAAAACAAAAUGAGUAACAAAACAUGUACAAUAGACUCAACAGUUACAUAUUAAUCAUAAAAAGGAUGAACAAACAUUUGAAGGAAUUAUGGAUUCAGUUACAUAAUAUGUUUUAAUUGUAAGAGAGGGAGUUAACAAAGAAAUAUUGUCAUUAUAACAGAAAACUAUGCUCAGUAAGAAUUUGUGUCAGUUAGCGCAUAUAGUCUAUAUAGACGAGAAACAAGGCAAUAUAAAUCAAUGAGAUAUGAAGAAUGGACAUAAGUAGAAGCAUUAAAGAAAGAUCCAAGUGUAUCAAAUGCAAAUUACCACUUCUAAGAAGAAUAUUAUAUCAUAGAAGAAGCAUCCAUUAAAUAACAAAAACCAGCAAUCAGUUUUUAGUUUUUAAUCUGAAACAGUUGAAUUCAAAUAAUAAUUAAAUUGCAAGUAUCAAUUAUAUAUGUUUCUAUUUGCAGAAAGUAUCUAGUAUCAAGUAUAUAUGUUCCUGUUUGUAUAAAAAUUGAAUUGCAAUUAAAAAUUAAAAACUUAUAUAUAUUAAUUCAAGUAACAUUUUCUAAAAAUUUAAAAUUGAAUUGUAAUGAUGAAUCGAGAGAUGAAUUUACCUCAUUAAUCAAGUUGAGUUACGGAAACAUUGGCAUCAUUAGUAGCAAGGCUCAACUUGGACAUUGUAGAAAAUUGAACAAUAUAAUUAAACACAUUAUUUUUAUAAAUUAUUUUAUUAGUUCAAUAAAAUAAACAAAAACAAUAAUUAUUACCACACUCAAGUUUACUGACAAAGUCGCUAUCUUCCGCCACAUCAAUACGAUUCUUCAUUUUCAUCCAAUCUUGAGAACACAUGAGAGCUUCCACCAUAUUAGGAGACAAUGAACUCCUAAAUGCAUCAAGAAUGCGUCCUCCCGUGCUAAAUUGGACUCCGAAGCAACGGUAGACAUGGAAAUAGCCAACACAUCACGAGAAAUACAUGCAAGAAUAAGGAAUCUUGCACUAUUAACUUUCCACCACACCAAAAUACUGAAUGUCGCAUCGGCUUCUUCCACAUCUUCACUUAAAUACUUGUCCAAUUCCAAUUUUUCUCCAAGUAUAACUCCGAUCCAACGCUUUUUGAACUCUUCUGUAAUUCUAUUUUUAUUUUUGGAUUCCAUUGCAUUAGAACCUUGGGAUGACAUGUUACUUAAACUUGAUUUUUUAGUUUCUUGAGUUGAAUACUUUUUUCUGUACCCAUUAAACAAAUCUUCCAUUGCUCUCAUCACACCAUCGUCAAUCUCCAUCCCAGUGGCCUUAUUAUUUGAUUGAUAUUCUAAAUCAAUAUCUUCAUUAUCAGUAUCAAAAUGAAGAUCUACUUCCAACCCCUCCUACGGAUUUUCAACUUUAAUUUCAGCAUCUCCAUACAUUCUUUCUAAACCAAAACAAAACUCAACUUAUAGCGAGGAUCAAGCACAACGGGAAUAUUUAACAACAUAUUCAUCUUUGUAACAUUUCCCCAAUACUUAUCAUAUUUUCUUUUCAUUGCCUUGGCCAUUUUUUGCAAUUCUCUAUCAUUGCUUCUUUCCCAAUCACUCAAAAUAAUAUAAGUGUCACAUAUUUCAAGAAAAGCACUAUUUGAUGUGAUAUAAGAUGAGCCCGAAAUAUGCACAGUGAGAUUAUAAAAAUAUUCUAAGAAUCCAACAAAUAAUUUAUCCCUAUUCCAAUCCGAGUCCGUUGGAAUAUUUUAGCCCCCCAUCUCUUUUUCAAAGCCACGAUCUUCAAACCCAAAUCGAUUAAAAGCUUCUUUGUAUUUUAAGGUCGAACUCAACAUUAGGUAAGUAGAGUUACAUCUAGUUGGGCAAUCUAUACUUAAGCCUUUCUUAUCUUCAAAACCACAAUGCUCGAUACAGUCCUUAAAUGACUUGACCCUAGCCGGGGAUUAUUUUGUAUACUUCACUGCAUGCCUAACUGUCUCAACAGAUUUCUCAAUCAAAUUCAACCCAUCAUUCACAACAAGAUUAAUAAUGUGAGCUAUACAUCUCAUGUGAAUGAAAUUACCAUCUAAGACAUUAGUUUUGCAAGAUGUACAUCUAUCUCUCAAGUAAGUCGUCGUAGUAUCAUUUGAGCUAGCGUUAUCUACACUGAGUGUCAUAACUUUAGAAAGUCCCCACUCUUUCAUACAAGACAAAAAUUUCCCCAAUGUCCUUCCCCUUAUGACUUGUGAUGGUUCGAAAAUUUAAGAUUUUCUUAUGCAAUUUCCAAUUUUCAUCAAUAAAAUUCGCAGUAACACACAUAUAAUUCAAGCAUUGAUUAGAAGUCCAAGAAUCAGUUAUGAGGCAAACACAUUCAAAAAAUUUUCUAAGUAUUGUUUUCAACUUAAUCUUCUCAUUAUUAUACAAACGAAUACAAUCUCUAGCAAAUGUAAAAUGUGAAUGCAAUUGAAAUCUAGGACAAGCAACUUGCAUAAGUCUUUUAAAACCCUCCUUCUCAACAUAUUUGAAAGGAAGUUCAUAUACAAUAAGAUGGUAAAUCACGGCUGCCCUAACCGCUUCUUGGUCAAACCUCCAAGCAGUGAGUGUACCCUCACAUGCCCCUCCCUCCCCAUCACCCUCUUUAAUCCCUACAAGUUGGGUUUGAGCUUUAUCCAUGUUGGUAGGAUGUUUUUUUACAAGUUCUAAAGUGAUUUCUUAAAGAAGUAGUACCAUUUGAAGAUGAAUCAGCAGCUAAUUCUUUUCCACAAUAAGUACACUUACCUUUGAUGACAGUAAUUAUCAUGCUUAUCUUUAACUGGAAUGAAGUGCCCCUCAGUCCACACCUUAGAUCUAGUAUCAUCCUCUUUCUUUGCAUCUUUACACUUUCUAAUUAUUUUGUAGUCUUUGUACUUGUCGAGGUUUCCUUUGACUAGGGCUCUAUAUUGGUGGGAACACUGCCACCUAACUCUUUCUCAUGUCCAAUUGCAUCAAGGUCAUCAAGAUUAGGCUCGUCUGUAUCAUCCACCAUGUGCAAAUCAUUUAAAACACUUCUUGACAUCAUCUGAAAAUGUCAAACAAAUCAAAUUGGAUUAACGAAGAAUGUUUGAAAAGGAUAAAUUAACCACAAUCCAAUAAACAACUCCAAUUAAAAAAAAUGAGAGAAAACAUCUAUUUAACUCUUAAAACUUUUAGAGUAGUUGACUCUUUCGCUCGGACUCACUACCAACUCCGGAGGGGCCCCUCUAUUUAAGGUUGAUUUCACACAAGAUUGUCAUAAGGGAGAACCUAGGUCUUCAUGCUUUAUUUGUUUAACCAGAAAGGCAGAAAAGAGAAAACAAAUAUUACAAUUUACUGUUGUGGCAUAAAUAUUUGGCCUAUCCUCUACAAAUUUAUGCAAGAGAUUAACACGAGUUAAAUUGCUAAAAUGAACAGUGUAUUUUAUAGUCUUUUCAUGUAAACAGAAAAGGUCAAAAUGUAUUUUAUGCAUCAUUUAAACAAAUUAAUAUCAAGAAGCAUGAUUGAUGUGUGCGAAAUUAGGCAUGACGUGAUAAAAAUCAUAGGAAGUACAUAAUAUAAGUAUUCACAGAGUUAUUUUCUGAUCGCCAAUUCGCUAAUUAAAUGAGUUAUUUUCUUAACUUGCAGUUAAACCAUUCCAGCUAAACAAUGCAAGAAAAACUUGUGAAGGCAACAAUCCAUAAGUCGUAAGGAAAAAAGACCGCAUUUUUAAAGAUAUUACAUAAUCAAUCAAAAUAGGCAUUGCAAUAUUUGAAGUGCAUUGCAAAGCACAGACAAGUGCAUCUUGGUAACUUACAUUAGCACCUAAAAUGUCAUCCAAUUUUUUUUUGAGAACCCAAUAAGCUAUUGCCAAUUUUUAAACACAUCCAAUUUGACAACAUACAAUACAAUACAAUCCAAAUCCCAAAUCUGCAAGACACACAGCAAAACAAAUAGACCCCCUAAAUCAAUACUGAGUUAGUGAAUUUUGAAUAAUACCCAUAUCAUAAAAGAAACCCUAGAUUUCAAGCAAAUCAAGGCUAGAAAAGAACUUUUCCUGUAUACCCAUUAGUCCAUUACCCACCACAUAUUUUUAUUUAUCCAAAAAGGGGGCUAGAAAUGAACAUAAAAACAAUAAGAUCUACGAACUUUUCCUGUAUUCAAUCACAAUUAGGGUGACAAUAUGGCUUCUUACUUCUUACUAUGAUAUACAUAAUUGAAAAUAUACAGACUGUAUACACACAAAAAAUUGAAAAAAAAAGUACAAAGAGACGAGGACUAAUCAAAACAAGUAAACAACAUGUACUUCAGCACUUGAAUCUUGAUAGUGAUUAGUGAAUGAAAAUUUACCUGGAUUCGAAACUCGAAAGAAAGGUCGAGCCAUCAAGGUUGAAGAAUAGAGUCGCCGAGUCGCAUGGAGAGAGGCCGAGGCGCAAAGCUGUGAAGGGUGAGACGAUGAGAGACAAAGGCCGGAGACUAAGAGUCGAGUAGUCGUCAGUCGAGUCGAGAGGCAAGACUUGAGAUCUGGGAUUUGGGAAUAGAAAUUAGGGGUGGCUA